GACAGAGGGUGCAAACGUUGUUCGGAAUUACUGGGCGUAAAGCGCGUGUAGGCGGCCCGGUAAGUCCGCUGUGAAAGUCGGGGGCUCAACCCUCGAAUGCCGGUGGAUACUGUCGGGCUAGAGUGCGGGAGAGGCGAGUGGAAUUCCUGGUGUAGCGGUGAAAUGACGCAGAUAUCAGGAGGAACACCAAUUGCGAAGGCAGCUCGCUGGAACGUAACUGACGCUGAGACGCGAAAGCGUGGGGAGCAAACAGG
rnacentral:rRNA from 1 species